AGAGUGAACGCUGGCGGCAGGCCUAACACAUGCAAGUCGAACGGCAGCACAGCAGAGCUUGCUCUGUGGGUGGCGAGUGGCGGACGGGUGAGGAUAACGUCGGAAUCUGCCUAUUUGUGGGGGAUAACGUAGGGAAACUUACGCUAAUACCGCAUACGACCUACGGGUGAAAGCGGAGGACCUUCGGGCUUCGCGCAGAUAGAUGAGCCGACGUCGGAUUAGCUAGUUGGCGGGGUAAAGGCCCACCAAGGCGACGAUCCGUAGCUGGUCUGAGAGGAUGAUCAGCCACACUGGAACUGAGACACGGUCCAGACUCCUACGGGAGGCAGCAGUGGGGGAAUAUUGGACAAUGGGCGCAAGCCUGAUCCAGCCAUGCCGCGUGUGUGAAGAAGGCCUGGUCGGUAAGU
rnacentral:rRNA from 1 species